AAGGUCUGCCAAGCUUCUUGCAAAAUGUUUGAGUCUGUUCUCACCUCGGUAUAGUUUGCUUGCCUGGUUGGGAUAACGCUGGCUGGCUUGGUUGUGUGGUGAUCCAUGACCUGUCUGCACAGGCAUGCUGGUGUGGCAAGACAGUUUGGAGUAGCAGGAACAGGUGAGCUGAUAUGGAAGAAAACAGCUUGGUAUCACUACUUCAGGGUUUGUCUCUCCCAGUGCAAUAUGGCUGAGAACGUGGCAAAGGCUUCUUGGCAUCUCCAGUGUUGAGCUCCAGGAAUUCAAAAGGCACCUGAUCUUGGCCAUCCAUAGGCAGUUGGUUUCUGCUGCACUGCACUGGCUUUUGAUGUCAAAGAUGGGGGAAAAGUCUGAGAGGAAGGCUGAACAGUGCUGGUCAAGGUAACGGCUGAGCUGUCCCGACUUUCCUU